CUAAUUGUAGCUGUAAUCAAAUUAAGAUGUGGUCAUACUGAUUUAGGAUGGGCCUUAAAUCUAACGACUGGUGUCAUAAGAAGAAGGAAACUUGGACACAGACACAGUGGGAAGCCAGCUGUGACAGAGGCAGAGAUGGGGGUGAUGCAGCCCCGAAGCUAGAAGAGGCAGGAAGGAGCCUCCCCUACAGCCACUCUGUUUGUAAUCCUUUGUUACGGAGGCCAUAGAAAAGAAGCUAAUCACCUACAAUGGCCUGGCCUGGGCCCCCACCGGAUCCUUCCUCGGCCAAGGAGUGGAGGGCCCCGUCUGGGGCCAGCAGGGCCACGACCGUGUCCUUGGACGUGAUGUGCCACUGGCCAAUCUCUGCGCGGGAGUAGAGGUAGGCCAGCAAGGGGAUGAGCUGCAGCUGCUCCUCGGGGACGCCGCCUGGGUAGACCUGCAGUGGGAGGCAGGUGGUGGUCAGGCCACACAGCCGGCCUGCCACCCGCCUCCCACUGCCAGUCGCUGGCGCACCUGAGCCAGCUUGGCCUUGAUGACUUGCUGGUACUGGGCGGGCAGUGGGUGCUGCAGCAGGGGGUCCAGGUUGGCCCUGAGCACAAGGCUGCC